CAAUAUUCCUGUCAGAUAACACCAGCUGAUAUCAGUGGCGUAACUAAUACUAAUUUAUUAAAUCUUGGGCGUUCGUGAAAGCAAUCCGAAAAGUUAACAUUUUAGUUUAUAUCUGAUUUGGGGAUUUCGUUUGGGCGUGAAAAUUUCGAAGGGAACGAAUCUACCGAGACGAAUAUUUUGUCAAUAAUAUGAAAUUCUGGAAUGUAAUAGAUAUAACAGCAAGUGAAAGUAUUCUGGAGGAAGAUAAUCUCCAGGAGACGAACUUUCCGGAAGUGAACCUUUCUAUGACGAAUAUUACGAGCCCGCAACUCAUUUAUCUAGCUAGUUUUCUUUGGACUUUAUAGACAAAUGUUUUAGGGCGGAUUUUCAAGUAAUUGAGCUAAUGAAAUUAAAUACACCAAUAUUAUUUUAUUUUAAAAUGUUCGAAACACACAACCAAUGAAGCCCAGGGACGUGAUGUAGACAAUUCCCACCAAUCCCACCUGGAGAAUUAGCACCAAUAAAAUAAUUUGCAGUCGGACAAUUUGCACCGGGACAUUUUAUUGCUUCCAUGAUAUUUCGCAUCCUGGACAUUUCGCUUCCGGAUAAUUCGCAACCGCGGAAAAUUUGCAUUAGGGAUACUUUUGGUACUAUAAGCAUUGAAUUUAUAACUAUCAAUUCAAUGCUAUAAGUUCAUGAAACUCGAGGAGAUUUUCAAUAAAUAUGGUACUACUAUUGUAAGUCAUUUUAAUCAUGUUUAUUCGCAUUCGUAGGAAGUUAUCCAAGGAGAACAAUACCUAUUCCAAUUUAGGUAUUAUUUCAGCUUUAGCGUCAUAAGUAGGCUAUUUUUUCCUGAAAAAGAUUAUUUUAUUUAAAGUAAU